GGUUUAAACGUGGUUCCUAACAGAGCACUUCACAGGGAAGUAAAACCAGUUGAAACCAGUUAGGUUUGGGGUUUAAACGUGGUUCCUAACAGAGCACUUCAAAGGGAAGUAAAACCAGUUGAAACCAGUUGAAACCAGUUAGGUUUGGGGUUUAAACGUGGUUCCUAACAGAGCACUUCAAAGGGAAGUAAAACCAGUUGAAACCAGUUAGGUUUGGGGUUUAAACGUGGUUCCUAACAGAGCACUUCAAAGGGAAGUAAAACCAGUUGAAACCAGUUAGGUUUGGGGUUUAAACGUGGUUCCUAACAGAGCACUUCAAAGGGAAGUAAAACCAGUUGAAACCAGUUAGGUUUGGGGUUUAAACGUGGUUCCUAACAGAGCACUUCAAAGGGAAGUAAAACCAGUUGAAACCAGUUAGGUUUGGGGUUUAAACGUGGUUCCUAACAGAGCACUUCAAAGGGAAGUAAAACCAGUUGAAACCAGUUAGGUUUGGGGUUUAAACGUGGCUCCUAACAGAGCACUUCAAAGGGAAGUAAAACCAGUUGAAACCAGUUAGGUUUGGGGUUUAAACGUGGUUCCUAACAGAGCACUUCAAAGGGAAGUAAAACCAGUUGAAACCAGUUAGGUUUGGGGUUUAAACGUGGUUCCUAACAGAGCACUUCAAAGGGAAG